ACGAGGGGGGCAAGCGUUGUUCGGAUUUAUUGGGCGUAAAGGGUGCGUAGGCGGUUUGGCAAGUCUUGUGUGAAAUCUUCGGGCUCAACCCGAAGCCUGCACGAGAAACUACCGGGCUUGAGUGAUGGAGAGGUGAGUGGAAUUUCCGGUGUAGCGGUGAAAUGCGUAGAUAUCGGAAGGAACACCUGUGGCGAAAGCGGCUCACUGGACAUUAACUGACGCUGAUGCACGAAAGCUAGGGGAGCAAACAGGAUUAGAUACCCUGGUAGUCCUAGCCCUAAACGAUGAUCGCUUGAUGUGGCAGGUACCCAAUCCUGCCGUGUCGAAGCUAACGCGAUAAGCGAUCCGCCUGGGGAGUACGGUCGCAAGACUG
rnacentral:rRNA from 1 species